rnacentral:rRNA from 1 species
GCGUGAGCUACCUUUUCUUCCUAUAAAUACCGGCCGCCCCGCGUUCCUCCACCACAUCCAGCAAACAAGCUCUCUCAAGGCACUAUCUGGCUGACUAGCUAGAAUAGACCGCUCGAUAGAGUAGCAUCAUAAGCAAACACCCAUAGACCGAUCAUGGCGGCGCGCGCCAUUAAUUGUUGCCCUCUCGCUCAUCCUCGCGCUGGUCGCCAUAGCCAGCGGAGGAGCGUCGGCGCAGCUGUCGUCGGGAUUCUACUCCCGCUCCUGCCCGGGCAUGCUCAAAGCCGUGCGCUCGGCGCUGCACCCGGCCAUCGCUAGGGAGCGCCGCGUGGGCGCCUCCAUCGUCCGCCUCUUCUUCCACGACUGCUUCGUCCAGGGCUGCGACGCCUCGCUGCUGCUGGACGACGCGCCGGGCCUGCGCGGCGAGAAGAACGCCACGCCCAACAAGAACUCCGCCAGGGGGUUCGAGGUCAUCGACGCCGUCAAGGCGGCCGUCGAGGAGUGUUGUCCCGGGGUCGUCUCCUGCGCCGACAUCCUCGCCAUCGCCGCCGAGGAGAGCGUCGUCUUCGUAAGUAUCCAUACAUGCAUAGUCUUUUUUUUUUGCGAAGUCUAACACUACUGUGACAUGCGUUGUGUACGUGUAGCUGGGUGGCCCGAGCUGGGAGGUGAAGAUGGGGCGGAGAGACUCGACCACGGCGAGCUUCAACGGCGCCGAGAACAACAUCCCCCCGCCGACGUCGGGGCUCGCAAACCUUACGUCCCUCUUCGCCGCGCAGGGGCUCUCCCAGAAAGACAUGGUCGCACUGUCAGGAGCCCACACAAUCGGCCUAGCACGCUGCACAAACUUCCGGGACCACAUCUACAACGACACAAACAUCGACGCCGGCUUCGCCAGGAGCCGCCAGUCAGGCUGCCCUCGCGCCACUGGCUCCGGUGACAACAACCUGGCGCCCCUCGACCUGCAAACUCCGGCCGUCUUCGAGAAUGACUACUACAAAAACCUUGUCCAGAAGAGGGGCCUUCUGCACUCGGAUCAGGAGCUCUUCAAUGGCGGUGCUGCCGAUGCGCUGGUCCGGGAGUACGUCGGUAGCCAGAGCGCCUUCUUCAAGGACUUUGUGGAGGGAAUGAUCAAGAUGGGGGACAUCACGCCGCUGAUGGGAUCCAACGGACAGAUCAGAAUGAACUGCAAGAGGAUCAACUAAGAUUCUUCUCCGCUUUCCGUGCCAACAAUUCCGAUGUUGUUCCCAUGCUUGAAUUCAUGAUGAUUUUCCCUUUUUUACUUAAACUCAUUUGUUCCCUUUUCUUUUAAGGAUAAAAGGUUAAAAGAUAUUAUAAUACUCCCCUUUGUACCAUGUUCACGGAAGAACUGAACAUGGAUGCACUGGCAAAAGAACAAAGUGCAAAGUGAGAUGUGGC